AUUGAACGCUGGCGGCAGGCCUAACACAUGCAAGUCGAACGAGUGGCGGACGGGUGAGUAAUGUCUGGGGAACUGCCUGAUGGAGGGGGAUAACUACUGGAAACGGUAGCUAAUACCGCAUCCCAUCGGAUGUGCCCAUAUGGGAUUAGCUAGUAGGUGGGGUAAAGGCUCACCUAGGCGACGAUCCCUAGCUGGUCUGAGAGGAUGACCAGCAAAACUGGAACUGAGACACGGCCCAGACUCCUACGGGAGGCAGCAGUGGGGAAUAUUGCACAAUGGGCGCAAGCAUGAGACAGCCAUGCCGCGUGUAUGAAGAAGGCCUUCGGGUUGUAAAGUACUUUCAGCGGGGAGGCGUUACCCGCAGAAGAAGCACCGGCUAACUCCGUGCCAGCAGCCGCGGUAAUUC
rnacentral:rRNA from 1 species